ensembl:lncRNA
GGCAUCUCACGGUGGCUUGUAUCUGCCCCGGGCUGUAGUUAGUCACUGGAGAUGUGGUGCCGUGGUGUGCCGUCCUCUUCAUUGUCUGUGGAGAGGGGUGGCAUCUCACGGUGGCUUGUAUCUGCCCCGGGGCUGUAGUUAGUCAUUGGAGAUGUGGUGCCGCGGUGUGCCGUCCUCUUCAUUGUCUGUGGAGAGGGGUGGCAUCUCACGGUGGCUUGUAUCUGCCCCUGUGGCUGUAGUUAGUCACUGGAGAUGUGGUGCCGCGGUGUGCCGUCCUCUUCGUUGUCUGUGGAGAGGGGUGGCAUCUCACGGUGGCUUGUAUCUGCCCCGGGGGCUGUAGUUAGUCAUUGGAAGGGUCAGCUGAGUUCCUGAGACACCCGAAUCUCUCUGUGAACCACGAAGAAGACAACGUGAUAGGCCUUUUACUUAGUAAUGAAAGAUGAAGCAAUUACACGACAAAAAGGCAGAAGUUUGAUAAUAAUGUCCAAGUUUAGAAUGUCAAAGUGUUCGAGGACUGUUGAAAGGUGUGGUUUACAUUGCCCCGUAGCUGUAGACUGUUGCCUGGAUAUGUGGCCUUGCUCCUGGAAUCUGAUUGGCUGGCUGGAGAGAGCUGUGAUCAGAGGGAGGCUGUUCAGUCUGAUGCUGCUGUCCUGCUCCUUGGUGCUGAAAUCGAGGACAUCACUGUGACUGUCACACUGCCAAGAAAACACAGGAGCGUCUUCGGGACAAGUCUCUGGAUGUCCUUGAGGGGCCAAGCCAGAGCCUGGACUUGAUCCCGAUCAAACAUCUCUGGAGAGACCUGAAAAUAGCUGUUCAGCGAUGCUUCCCAUCCAACCUGACAGAGCUUGUGAGGAUCUGCAGAGAAGAAUGGGAGAAACUCCCCAAAUACAGAUGUGCCAAGCUUGUAGCGUCAUGCCCAAGAAGAUGGUGUCUUGAGUUCUGUCAAUAAGAUAAUCAUGAAACCAUGAACAGGCUUCAGAGCUCAUGCAUAUCGAGGAUUAUUAUUCAAUAAAAUAGCGUGAUCAAAAGCUGCCUCUCAUAAGGACCACAACAGGAAAGGAAGACCCAGAGUUACCAGCCUCAGAAGUUGCAGCCCAAAUAAUGCUUCACAGAGUUUCAAGUAACAGACACAUCUCUACAUCAACUGUUCAGAGGAGACUACGUGAAUCAGGCCUUCUUCGUCAAAUUGCUGCAAAGAAACCACCACUAAAGGACACCAAUGAUAAGAAGAGACUUGCUUGGUCCAAAAAACACGAGCAAUGGACAUUAAACUGGUGGAAAUCUGAUAUGUCCAAAUGUAAGAUUUUUGGUUCCAACCACUGUGUCUUUGUGAAACACAGAGUAGGUGAAAGGAUGAUCUCUGCACGUGUGGUUUCCACUGUGAAGCAUGGAGGAGGAGGUGUAAUGUUGAUGGGGUGCUUUGCUGGUGACACUGUCAGUGAUUUAUUUAGAACUCAAGGCACACUUAACCAGCAUGGCUACCACAGCAUCCUGCAGCGAUACGCCAUCCCACCUGGUUUGCGCUUAGAGGGACUAUCAUUUUUUUUUCAACAGGAAUAUGACUAAAACACACCUCCAGUCUGUGUAAGGGCUAUUUGACCAAGAAGGAGAGUAAUGGAGUGCUGCAUCAGACGACCUGGCUUCCAUAAUCACCCGACCUCAACCCAAUUGAGAUGGUUUUGGAUGAGUUGGACAGCAGGAAAUCAGCAUAUGUGGGAAAUCCUUCAAGACUGUUGGAAAAACAUUCCAGGUCGUUUUGUUCAUCAGUGGUUUUCCCAUUCUGCCUGCCCUGACCCUGCUUUCCGUCCUCUACCUUUUUGGACUCUGAUCUGGAUUACCGACCUCGGCCUGCCCUUGACUUGUCG